ensembl:lncRNA
GUAUUUUUAAAAUGUAGGUAAAGGGGAUAGAGUAACCAGGAAGGCUAUUUAGAGCCUGGAAAGACCUCUUUGAGGAGGUAGUUUUUUCGUUUUUUGUUUUCUUUUUUAUGGCCACACCUGCAUAUGGAAGUUCCUGGGCCAGGAGUCGAACUGGAGCUGCAGCUUGACUUACGCCACAGCCAUGGCAACACCAGAUCUGAGCCACAACUGCAACCUACACCGCAGCUAACAGCAGUGGAUCCUUAACCCACUGAGUGAGGCCAGGGAUCGAACCCAAAUCCCCAUAGAGACAACACUGGGUCCAUAACCCACUGAGCCACAAGGGGAACUCUUGAGAUGGUUUUGAGUAGAAAGACGCCAAGUAAAGUGAAGGAAAAAGCCACAAGGAUAACUGGAGAAAAGAGUAUUCUGGACAGAGGGAGAAGCUUGCUCAGCGUGUGCAGAGAAUGAGGCCCGCAGCCCUCGUGGCUAAAGUGGCAUGAACUAGGAAGAGUGGUAAGAUGUGACCAGUUUUUGAAGGCCUUUUAAGCCAAGGAAAAUAGUUAGGACUUUUUUCCUAGCAUGAUAGGGCUCUUUAAAAGGCUUCCAGCAGGGAAAAGACCUAGUCUAACUUAGACUGCAAAAGUCUCCUUCAGAUGGCUAAAUAGGGAAUUAAGAAGGAAAACAAAAAGGCAAGGGGAGGUAAAUUUAGAGAAUAUUUCUAAAGGCAGAGAAAACAGUUAUGUUGGUCGAUUGUAAGAGGGGUGUGAACUCUUGCUGGAGGACUAGUUCCAAUUAACCUUGCUGGUUCUCCUACUGGUGAGAAAUAUUUCAAGAAAGAGAAUGUAUUAUACCUCAAGAAACUCAAACUAGUAUCAGCCCUAAAAAUUCGCUAUACCUGGUAUAUUUAAAAUGCACAUACUACAGGAGUUCCCGCUGUGGCUCAGUGUUUAAUGAACCCAACUAGCAUUCAUGAGGACUCAGGUUUGACCCCUGGCCUUGCUCAGUGGGUUAGGGAAUCCGGCGUUGCUGUGAGCUAUGGUGUAGUCGCAGACUCGGCUCAGAUUUGGCAUUGCUGUGGCUGUGGCGUAAGCCGGCAGCUACAGUUCUGAUUCGACCUCUGUCCUGGAAACCUCCAUAUGCCAAGGGUGUGGCCCUAAAAAAGACAAAAAAAAAAAAAAAAAAGGCACAUAUUAAAACACAAAAGACUUACAGCUAGGUCAAGACUCCGUCCCCCAUAACACCACUGAAUACAUACAAUCAUUUUGCCUAGCAGUAUAAUAAAAAAACAUCAGAAAUUAAGAAAAAAAAUGUUCAGUUUAGGAGCCCCUAGAUAUAAAACUCCUAAGAGUAUGAGAUUCCCCCCAAUGACUUGGGGGGGGGGGUCCCCUGACAUUUUAACUCAGAUUUGUUCACGCUGAGCUUGCAGUAAUUUAUCAAUCACAGUUUAGCUUUUCCUACCCCAGAACUGGUUUUCAUAAGGGGUUUCUGUUCUGGUGAAGUUGUGUUUCUCUGUAUUCACCUAUCUCUCCAGUUGGGGGACAGCAGUUGGCCCAAUGACCUCACUUCUCUGAAAGAUCCAAGAAAGAGUUGCUGGUUUUUCAGUUUGUUCAGCUUUUUGCUCACUUUAAGGCAGAGUGAUGACCUCCAAACUCCUUACACACUGGACCAGAAACCAGAAGUCUCUCACUUUUUGAUAAUUUUCUUCAUAAAAGUUUGAACAUCUUUUGUUAGUCCUAUUGUAAGGUACUCUACAACUCACUAACAUUGUAAAUGACAUCUUUUAAAAAAACAUUUUUCAGGAGUUCCCGUUGUGGCGCAGUGGUUAACGAAUCCGACUAGGAACCAUGAGGUUGAGGGUUUGAUCCCUGGCCUUGCUCAGUGGGUUAAGGAUCCGGCGUUGCCGUGAGCUGUGGUGUAGGUUGCAGACGCGGCUCGGAUCCCGUGUUGCUGUGGCUCUGGCGUAGGCCGGUGGCUACAGCUCCAAUUGGACCCCCAACCUGGGAAUCUCCACAUGCCGUGGGAGCAGCCCUAGAAAUGGCAACAAGACAAAAAAAACAAAAAACCAUUUUUCAACUUCCUGUGUUUGAAUUAUAGAAAAACAUGAAAUCACCUUGCUAAACUCAUUAUUCUACUAAUGUAAAUGUAAGUUAUCUUGGCUUUUUCUAUAUAAACAAUCAUAGUACAGGUGAAUGACUCCAUAGAAAGGAUAUGUACUGGCCAAAUAACAGUCCUCAAAGAGGUCCUCACCCCAAUUCCCAGAAGUCUGUGUAUAUGUUAUUUGACAUGACAAAAUAUUUUGUAGAUUUGACUGCAUUAAGGACUUUGAUGUGGGAGGUUUUUCUGGAUUAUCUACUUGGGCCAGCAGGAGGGUCAGAAUCAGCGAAGACUAUAUGAUGAUAGGUAGCAGAAAGAAAGGUGAUGACAGAAGUAGAGGCUGGAAUGAUAUACUUUGAAGAUGAAAGUACAGGAAUGCAGGCAACCUCCAGAAGCCAAAAGAGACAAGGAAGCAGACUCUCCUCUAACACCUUCAAAAGAAACACACCUCUUCCAAUACCCUGAUAUUAGUCCCACAAGACUAAUUUUGAACUCCUAACCUCCAUCACUAUACAAAUAAAUUGCGUUAUUUUUUAUAUAUUUUUUGUUUUUUAGGGCCGCACCCACGGCAUAUGGAGGUUCCCAGGCUAGGGGUUGAAUCAGAGCUACAGCUGCCAGCCUACACCACAACCACAGCAAUUCAGUAUCCGAGCCACAUCUGUGACCUAUACCACAGCUCACGGCAACACCAGAUCCUUAACCCACUGAGCGAGGCCAGGGAUUGAACCCACAACCUCAUGGUUCCUAGUCAGAUUCGUUUCUGCUGUGCCACGACAGGAACUCCUAAAUUGUGUUGUUUUAAACACACCUCCUCCUAUGCACCCCCUCAGGGGCGCACCUGAGGCAUGAUAUCUUAUUCAAAUAAACAUAUGACUUAAUGCAAGUAAACAGAUGACUUGAGAGAUUGAAUCAGAGCUAUUGAGCAAUAACUCUGAGCAAAGCCAGACAGAGGGUUGAUUACUAUCUUGAGUUCCUCCUAUCUCCCAGAAAUCCUCAAAAACAAUAUCAAGAUCAACUAAAGACAGAUGUCAGUUAAUGAACAUCUCUCAGCCCCUGUGUUCUCAUUAUUUAUCUCAGCCCUUUCUUAUAUUGUUCUGUCCUGGGUAACUCCUGUCUUUAAAAUACUGUUUUAGUACUCUUCUUCUGGGAAGUGUUACAAGUUACUUGGCUAAAAGCAACUUAUUAGCUGAAAAAGGACAAGAACACUUGGAACAAAGAAAUAGUCCGAAGAUACACUUAAAAAUUCAAAUUCUUAUUCCAAGCAUAAAAAAUACAGACACUGAAAAGUAAAAGAGAUAAACUCUCCACCUUCAACAAACUCCUUUUUAAAAACUAAAAAAGGAGUUCCCAUUGCGGCUCAGCGGUAAAGAAUGUGACUAGUAUCCAUGAGGAUUGGGGUUUGAUCCCUGGUCUCGCUCAGUGGGUUAAGUAUUAGGCUCGGCCCCAAGCUGUGGUGUGGGUCACAGCCGCUGCUGGGAUUGGACCCCAUAUGUCGCACGUGGGGCCCUAAAAGGUAAUAAAGUAAAAUAAAAAACUAAAAAAAAAUAGAACUAAGCAAAAGUUUGCAGUGCUAUCUUUGUACAUUUUACUAACUUCUCUAUAUAUAUUACGUUCUAAAAUACUCUAAAUCUAGUGUUGAAUCAACAGUGCUUAAUCAAGGAAGAACAAUAUUUGGUCUGUAUUCUUUAGGCUGGAGUGAGAGAGGGAGAUCAUUUACAAUGGCAGUGGCUAUUUACAAGAGCAAGGCUGGAUGGCAGGAUGAAAGUCACGCGCUCGCAGACACAGGCCUUGGACAGGGGGAGAACUACGACGGCUCACGGUGGCAUCGUCCCGCACCUGCCAGAUGCGGCCGGAGAGCCAGGCGCAGCCGCCCUCCGCUUGCCCAGCCCAGGCCGACUAAGUCGGGGUGGCCGACUGGUCGGGGUGGCCACUCACUCACCUGGUUGGUGACCUGAAAUAGAAGCAGAAAACACAAUUUAUAGAACUACUUUUCUUGCUCCGGAGCCCCGCUGCCCUGGCUCCUUCGAGGCCAGGUCUUACCUUGGCCUUAGCGUCCAGCUGCGGCUCACUAGACCCCUCCAUGACAGGGUUGAGGGCUUCUUCCACCCUCCGGUGGGCACUCCGGGUUCACCGACACUUCCGCUUCUUCUUCCCGCCCCUUGAGGGCCGGCGCACGCAGCAGACGUAGGGGAAGACAAAAACAGAGAUCCGUGUGUAAUUCAUCCUUAGUCUCAAUUAGACAUCGAUAUUCUAGAGCUGGUCAGUAAAAAAGAAAACUCUGUAUGGAAAAAAGGUCCAAAAUUUGGCGGAUGCCUUGCAAAGAGAAGGACUGAUUAUCUUUAGGAUUCCGCCACCCCCACUAAUCUCAUCAAUUUGGACUCUUCCUCACCCCCGCCCACAGCGCCCUUUGCGCAAGCGCCAAUUUCUGGCUGCGCAGACUCGUGCUUAGUAGGUACUGCUCGCCAAAUUUGAAAGCUGCGGGACCACCACUUAGUCUUCCCUCUGGAAGUUUGUCCUGCAAGGGAGAUGUCUGUGGACCUAUAGUUUCAUGAUUAGGUUGCAUCACUCGGAUUCACUUCACUGGUAGGGUGGGUGUGCUUCUUCGCGGCCGCGCCAGCCCUCAACCUGACUGCAGCAGAACCCAUCCGGUCUUCCUACUUUCCUCCUAUUCAUCUCAAAAUCAUUCUAUAGAGUAUCCAAAGCGAUUUUCCCUCAGCUUUUUCUUUUGAAAAACUUAAUUUUUUUCAGAAAAGUUGCAAAAAAGAGUAUGUGAACACCCGUAUACCCUGCAUCUAGAUGCACCGACAUUUUUACACAUCUACUUUAACUCUAGCUGCAUACACAAUAAUGAUGACACAUCAUCCCUAAGUACUUGAGCAUGUAUCUUCUGAGAACAAGGGCAUUCUGCUGCAUAAUCUCAAUACAACCAUCACACUCAGAAAAGUUAAUAUUGAUAAAAUGCUAUUAUUUAACACAUGGGCCAAAUUCAAAUUUCCUUGUAACAAUAUUCUUUUUUGAGGGCCGCACCCGCAGCAUAUGGAGAUGCCCAGGCUAGGGGUCAAAUUGGAGCUACAGCUGCCAGCCUGCACCACAGCCACAGGAACACAGGAUCCGAGCCACGUCUGCAACCUACACCACAGCUCAUGGCAAUGCCGGGUCCUUAACCCACUGAGCGAGGCCAGAGACCGAACCCACAACCUCAUGGUUCCUAGUCGGAUUCAUUUCCGCUGUGCCACGACGGGAACUCCUUAAUAAUAUUCUUUAAAAAUGUUCCCUGCCCUACCCACGACCAGAUUCAAAUCAAAAACCACUUGUUAAAUUUAGUUACAGUGCCUCAAUCUUCAAUCUAGAACUACGCUGGUAAAAUGUCAGGGCCCCAUUGUUUCCCCAUCGGGAGGAGAAUCUGCUUUCAAGUUGCUAGCUGACUCAAUUCUAUACAGUUCACAUUUCCUUGCUGGCUUUUGGAUGGAGGUUCUCAGUUUCUGGACAUAAUCUGCAUUCCUUGACUUGCGGCCCCCAUCCAACAUCCUCAAAGCCAUUAAUGCCAGGUCAAGUCCUCCACACUUUGAAUCACUCUGCCUCUCCUUCUGCAUAAGCUCUCCUCUGUUUUCUUUCACCACUCAAGUUUGAGAAGAUUCCCUGUUUAGAUGGGGCAUACCCAGGUAAUCCAGGAUGAAACCUAAAUUACAUACGCAGAGCAGUAUCUACAUUGCUGUUUGAUCGAAUAAGGGGGAUAAUAAUUUUGAGGGGAUAGGCAUCUUUUUUUUUUCCCUUAGGGCCGCACCCCCGGCAUAUGAAAGUUCCCAGGCUAGGGGUCAAAUCGGAGCUGCAGCUGCCUGCCUACACCACAGCCACAGCAAUGCCAGAACUGAGCUUGCAGCUUCGAUCUACACCACAGCUCACGGCAACGCCAGAUCCCUGACCCACUUAGUGAGGCCAGGGAUUGAACCCCCGUCUUCAUGGGUACUCGUCAGAUUCGUUUCUCCGUGCCACAAUGGGAAUUCCCAGGGGCAUCUUUUACUAUUCUGUUCACCACAAACACUUUUAUAGGAUUGAUGGAGAAUUACAAU